rnacentral:tRNA from 1 species
UAGGGUUAAAGAUAUUAAACUUGCACUUUAGUUACGCCUCUUGGCUAACCUUGU